GGGCGAAGUUCGUCCGCGGGACUCGGAAUGGCACCAGACUUGGCGGGCGGCCUCCGUGUGCCAAAAAUAGGCCACGGGCACAGCCUCGCCCAAAAAUCAGCCCCCGAAGGUCGGGGUCCCAAGACCCCCCAGCGGAAAAAUGGCCAAAAAACGGGUGGGCUAUAGCCUUGGUGGGGGGCGUGGGCGAAGUUCAUCCGCGGGACUCGGAAUGGCACCAAACUUGGCGGGCGGAAUCCGUGUUGCAAAAAUAAGCCACGGGCACAGCCCCGCCCAAAAAACAGCCUCCGAAGUUCGGGGUCCCAAGACCCCCCAGCGGAAAAAUGGCCAAAAAACGGGUGGGCUAUAGCCUUGGUGGGGGGCGUGGGCGAAGUUCGUCCGCGGGACUCGGAAUGGCACCAGACUUGGCGGGCGGCCUCCGUGUGCCAAAAAUAGGCCACGGGCACAGCCGCGCACAAAAACCAGCCCCCGAAGGUCGGGGUCCCAAGACCCCCCAGCGGAAAAAUGGCCAAAAAACGGGUGGGCUAUAGCCUUGGUGGGGGGCGUGGGCGAAGUUCGUCCGCGGGACUCGGAAAGGUACCAGACUUGGCGGGCUGCCUCCGUGUGCCAAAAAUAGGCCACGGGCACAGCCGCCCCCAAAAAUCAGCCCCCGAAGGUCGGGGUCCCAAGACCCCCCAGCGGAAAAAUGGCCAAAAAACGGGUGGGCUAUAGCCUUGGUGGGGGGCGUGGGCGAAGUUCGUCCGCGGGACACGGAAUGGCACCAGACUUGGCAGGCGGCCUCCGUGUUCCAAAAAUAGGCCACGGGCACAGCCGCGCCCAAAAACCAGCCCCCGAAGGUCGGGGUCCCAAGACCCCCCAGCGGAAAAAUGGCCAAAAAACGGGUGGGCUAUAGCCUUGGUGGGGGGCGUGGGCGAAGUUCAUCCGCGGGACUCGGAAUGGCACCAGACUUGGCGGGCGGCCUCCGUGUUGCAAAAAUAGGCCACGGGCACAGCCGCGCCCAAAAAACAGCCCCCGAAGUUCGGGGUCCCAAGACCCCCCAGCGGAAAAAUGGCCAAAAAACGGGUGGGCUAUAGCCUUGGUGGGGGGCGUGGGCGAAGUUCGUCCGCGGGACUCGGAAUGGCACCAGACUUGGCGGGCGGCCUCCGUGUGCCAAAAAUAGGCCACGGGCACAGCCGCACCCAAAACACAGCCCCCGAAGGUCGGGGUCCCAAGACCCCCCAGCGGAAAAAUGGCCAAAAAACGGGUGGGCUAUAGCCUUGGUGGGGGGCGUGGGCGAAGUUCGUCCACGGGACUCGGAAUGGCACCAGACUUGGCGGUAGGCCUCCGUGUGCCAAAAAUAGGCCACAGGCACAGCCGCGCCCAAAAAACAGCCCCCGAAGUUCGGGGUCCCAAGACCCCCUUGCGGAAAAAUGGCCAAAAAACGGGAGGGCUAUAGCCUUUGUGGGGGGCGUGGGCGAAGUUCGUCCGCGGGACUCGGAAUGGCACCGGACUUGGCGGUAGGCCUCCGUGUGCCAAAAAUAGGCCACGGGCACAGCCGCGCCCAAAAAACAGCCCCCGAAGUUCGGGGUCCCAAGACCCCCCAGCGGAAAAAUGGCCAAAAAACGGGUGGGCUAUAGCCUUGGUGGGGGGCGUGGGCGAAGUUCGUCCGCGGGACUCGGAAUGGCACCAGACUUGGCGGGCUGCCUCCGUGUGCCAAAAAUAGGCCACGGGCACAGCCGCGCCCAAAAAUCAGCCCCCGAAGGUCGGGGUCCCAAGACCCCCCAGCGGAAAAAUGGCCAAAAAACGGGUGGGCUAUAGCCUUGGUGGGGGGCGUGGGCGAAGUUCGUCCGCGGGACACGGAAUGGCACCAGACUUGGCAGGCGGCCUCCGUGUGCCAAAAAUAGGCCACGGGCACAGCCGCGCCCAAAAACUAGCCCCCGAAGGUCGGGGCCCCAAGACCCCCCAGCGGAAAAAUUGCCAAAAAACGGGUGGGCUAUAGCCUUGGUGGGGGGCGUGGGCGAAGUUCGUCCGCGGGACUCGGAAUGGCACCAGACUUGGCGGGCGGCCUCCGUGUGCCAAAAAUUGGCGACGGGCACAGCCGCGCCCAAAAACUAGCCCCCGAAGGUCGGGGUCCCAAGACCCCCCAGCGGAAAAAUUGCCAAAAAACGGGUGGGCUAUAGCCUUGGUGGGGGGCGUGGGCGAAGUUCGUCCGCGGGACUCGGAAUGGCACCAGACUUGGCGGGCGGCCUCCGUGUGCCAAAAAUUGGCGACGGGCACAGCCGCGCCCAAAAACCAGCCCCCGAAGGUCGGGGUCCCAAGACCCCCCAGCGGAAAAAUGGCCAAAAAACGGGUGGGCUAUAGCCUUGGUGGGGGGCGUGGGCGAAGUUCGUCCGCGGGACUCGGAAUGGUACCAGACUUGGCGGUAGGCCUCCGUGUGCCAAAAAUAGGCCACGGGCACAGCCGCGCCCAAAAAACAGCCCCCGAAGUUCGGGGUCCCAAGACCCCCCAGCGGAAAAAUGGCCAAAAAACGGGUGGGCUAUAGCCUUGGUGGGGGGCGUGGGCGAAGUUCGUCCGCGGGACUCGGAAUGGCACCAGACUUGGCGGGCU
rnacentral:lncRNA from 1 species